rfam:Ornithorhynchus anatinus chromosome 18, whole genome shotgun sequence.
CCCCUCUCAGGGUCACACCUACAGAGUUUCCAGUACUCUACCAGUCUUGACUAGGGGAGGGAGAGUCAAGCAGAGGCCUACCCAUUCCAUUUCUAGCUUGGACGAUGGCUAGCGAGUGGAAGGCAAUCUGCUACAAGU